CAUACUUGCAGUUCUAUUACUGGAGAGGUGGAGGCAGGAGGAUCAGAAAUUCAGAGUCAUCUGCAGUGACAUAGCCAGGUCAGGACUAGCCUAAGCUACAUAAUACCCUAAACCCCAACCCCCUAAAGAAGAAAAGAAAAAGGUAAUCCUACUACUUAGAAGACUGAAACAGGACAAUCUUGAAUUCAGUGCUGUCCUGUAUUUCAUAUGAGAACCUGUCUCAAAAAAAAAAAAAAAAAUGUUAACAGCCAAGCAGGCAUGGUGGCAAAUAUCUUUAAUCCAGCACUCAGGCAGAGGCAGGAGGAUCUCUGUCAGUUUGAAGCCAGCCUUAUCUACAUAUUGAGCUCUAACAUGGCUAGAACAACAUAAAGAGACUUUUGUCUCAAAAAAAAAGAAAAAAACAUAUGGAACUAGUGAGACAGUUCAGAGGUAAGGAGAGCUUGCUGCUCUUACAGAAGACUGGAGUUAGGUUACUAGCACCCGUCAGGCAGGCCUGUUAAUCCCACUCAUGGAGAAUAAGUCCACUACCACAGUUUACGCAAGAUUUGAAGCAGGCAUGAGUUUUACUGGGGUGCACCCGAGAGCUGGCCAGUGACUGCCUCCUAAGUCAGCUUCAAGAGAGCAGCAGCAAAUCCAUUCCUUGGGCUCCUUUAAGGAGUAAAAUCACAAGUAGUUGCAAAGCAGGUUUACAGAAGAGAGACAAUGAGGUAAUAAGAAAAUGUAGGAAAAAUCUCAAAAAACAUCAUGUGGUCACCAUGUGAUUUGGGAGAGUGAUUAGGGAGGGUAAGGGUAUUCUUAUAAACAAAUCAAGGUCAUGGUUUGGUGUCUUAGGGUUUUCUAUUGCUGUGAAGAGACACCAUGACCACAGCAACUCUGAUAAAGAAAACAUUUAAUUGAGGUGGCUUACUUACAGUUUCAGAGGUUUAGUCCGUUAUCAUCACGAUGGGGAGCAUGGCAGUGUGCAGGCAGAGGUGAGACUAGAGCUGAGAGUCCUACAUCUUGCAGGCAACAGGAAGUCAACUGACACGUUGGGCGGUAUCCUGAACACAGGAAACCUCAAAGCCCACCCCUGCAGUGACACACUUCCUCUACAAAGCCACACCCACUCCAACAAAGCCACACCUCCUAAUAGUGCCACUCCCUAUGAGAUGAUGGGGGCCAGUUACAUUCAAACUACCAUAGUUAAGGGAGGUCAGUUUCCAGGAAACAGACUUAAAAACAGCAACUCAGUGUUGUGGAAUAUCUGAUCGCACUGUGACACUCCAAGACUAUUAAUAAAGUUAACCUUGAAUCAGGACAGAGCCAGCCACUAGCUGACUGGACUUAGCCAUAGAGAAGCCAGCGAGACAUGGAGCGAGUCAGACAUGCAGACUGGAGGAGAGAUCAUCAAUUUGGUUGUCAAUAGUAUGAGAAAAUCAGAGAUUUUGAAACAACACAUUCCAGUAAAUUGCUGACAACCAGGAUUGUAAGUAACAGGAUAUCUGAUAAGCUGAAGAAGCUUUGAAGAACCCCCAUGAGUGUCUGUGUUACUGAAAAGCUGCAGAAGAUGGAGAAAUCGCCUAUUAGGCUCUCCAACCAGCUUCUGUGAAGCUAUCCGCCCUAAGACUCUAAGCACUAGACCAACACUAAGUUCUCAAGAACUAAGGCUGAGGAUGUAAUACAGUGGUAGAGGGCUUAUCUAACAAGUAUAAUGCUCUGUAUUUGAACCUCCUAGCAACCAAAAAACAAAACCAAAAUCUAAGAAUUUAUAUACCAGGAAGGUAGAUUUUUGUAUACUCUUCAGUAGAACCUUGACUUGAGGAGAAGUAAAAACACAAAGUAUUUCAAAUCUGUCAUCUUUCAAAUUACAGUUAAUGAAAACUGUCUGGGUAAACUCUGCCCCCCCCCCCAAAUGGCAGGUGUUAUUUAUUAAGCGGCACAAUGUUAUUCAUUAAGUGGUGCUGUUUACUGUGCCAGAAAAGUUUCUUAACAGAAGGAGGUGCUUAGGCCUAUGGAAAUGACCGUGCAGGAAGAAAAAGGGGCAGAGGGAUGAGAGGGAAUUAUAGAUUCCCCUGCACAUGCACAUAAAGGCUUAUGUAGCUAUGCCAUGCAUGCUCAUAGAUUAUGUGAUCACGCUACACGCAAAUUACAUGAUCAGGCAGUGCAUGGAUUACGUUGGCCAUAGGGCCCUGGGAUGACUAAGCAUCUUACCAGCAAAUGCAUGGUCUUAUGCAGAUUUAGCUAAAGUAGUGCUCAGUGACCAGAUUCCUGAGGUCUACGUCAUCUCUUGGCCAAGCAGGAGAGGGUUUGUGGAUUGGAGAAAUGGCUCAGUGGUUAAGAGCACUUUCUACUUUUCCAGAGGACCUUGAGUCCAUAUCAGGUGGCUU